rnacentral:ncRNA from 1 species
GCAAUCUCGGAGGCUGCAAAUAACAAGCUUUUCUGGGGGAUACGCGUAGUGACCAUUCAUGCUGAUUGUGACGCUGCGUAGGGUAGGUAUCGUCAAACCCCUUAGGCGAUAGACGGGAUACUAUACGUCGCACGAAGCGGCACGUAAAUGGGAAACCCAACA